CCUACGGGUGGCAGCAGUGGGGAAUAUUGGGCAAUGGGCGCAAGCCUGACCCAGCAAUGCCGCGUGAAGGAAGAAGGCUUUCGGGUUGUAAACUUCUUUGACAGGGGAAGAGCAGAAGACGGUACCCUGAAAACAAGCCACGGCUAACUACGUGCCAGCAGCCGCGGUAAUACGUAGGUGGCAAGCGUUGUCCGGAUUUAUUGGGUUUAAAGGGUGCGCAGGCGGUCUGUUAAGUCAGCGGUCAAAGCCCGGGGCUCAACCCCGGCCCGCCGUUGAAACUGGCAGUCUCGAGUUGGAGAGAAGUAUGCGGAAUGCGCGGUGUAGCGGUGAAAUGCAUAGAUAUCGCGCAGAACUCCGAUUGCGAAGGCAGCAUGCCGGCUCCACACUGACGCUGAGGCACGAAAGCGUGGGUAUCGAACAGGAUUAGAUACCCCGGUAGUC
rnacentral:rRNA from 1 species